rnacentral:rRNA from 1 species
UACGUAGGGGGCUAGCGUUGUCCGGAUUUAUUGGGCGUAAAGAGCGUGUAGGCGGCCAGGUAGGUCUGCUGUGAAAACUCGAGGCUCAACCUCGAGACGUCGGCGGAAACCAUCUGGCUAGAGUCCGGAAGAGGAGAGUGGAAUUCCUGGUGUAGCGGUGAAAUUCGUAGAUAUCGGGAGGAACACCUGUGGCGAAGGCGGCCGACUGGACGAUCACUGACACUGAGACGCGAAAGCGUGGGUAGCAAACAGG